ensembl:rRNA 5S_rRNA 5S ribosomal RNA
GUCUACGGCCAUACCACCUUGAAUGCACCUGAUCUUGUCAGCUACGCAGGGUCUGGCCUGGUUAGUACUUGGAUGGGAGACCACAUGGGAAUACCGGAUGCUGUAGGCU